UACGUAGGGUGCAAGCGUUGACCGGAAUUAUUGGGCGUAAAGAGCUCGUAGGCGGUUCGUCGCGUCGGCUGUGAAAUCCCGAGGCUCAACCUCGGGUCUGCAGUCGAUACGGGCGGACUGGAGUUCGGCAGGGGAGACUGGAAUUCCUGGUGUAGCGGUGAAAUGCGCAGAUAUCAGGAGGAACACCGGUGGCGAAGGCGGGUCUCUGGGCCGAUACUGACGCUGAGGAGCGAAAGCGUGGGGAGCGAACAGG
rnacentral:rRNA from 1 species